rnacentral:rRNA from 1 species
UGGUGGAGUGAUUUGUCUGGUUAAUUCCGAUAACGAACGAGACCUUAACCUGCUAAAUAGCCAGGCCGGCUCUUGCUGGUCGCCGGCUUCUUAGAGGGACUGUCAGCGUCUAGCUGACGGAAGUUUGAGGCAAUAACA